rnacentral:tRNA from 1 species
GGGCCCGUAGCCUAGCCUGGAUAAGGCGACAAGAUAAGGAUUCGUAAGAGUCCCUGUUUCGCUAGAGCCUUCUAAGCUGUAGAUCGGGGGUUCGAAUCCCUCCGGGCCCA